rnacentral:rRNA from 1 species
UAACUAUAAACGAUGUCAACGAAGGAUUGGAUAAAUUUCAAGACUUUGAGCGGGUUGUACAGCUAUGCUGUGCACUUGCGACGAGUCGAAUACACCUUAUUCAGAACUUGAAGAGAAAUCUUGAGUUAUUGGACUUCAGGGGGAGUAUGGUCACAAGGCUGAAACUUAAAGGAAUUGACGGAAGGGCACACAAGGAGUGGAGCCUGCGGCUUAAUUUGACUCAACACGG